rnacentral:lncRNA from 1 species
UGGGAGAGAAGGGGGAAUGGAGAUGUUUGAGAGAAGAGAGAAUGGUGAGUGAAUGAGUGAUGAAUGAAGGGAGAUUAGGCCUCUAUUUAUACACAUAUUGGGUGGCUAAAAAUAGAAAUUUCCAGCCUUGAUUUUCUCCCUCAAGUGGCCGACCAUGGAUUGAGGAGAAGGGGGUUGAGUUGUUUUUUUAUUUUAAGCAAAGUGCU